UUAACACAUGCAAGUCGAACGAAUUUUUACAGAAGGAAGCUCGGCCGACGGACGUAAGAAGUGAGUGGCGGACGGGUGAGUAACGCGUGGGUAACCUGCCUCACAUCGGGGGAUACCAGUCGGAAACGACUGCUAAAACCGCAUAAGACCACGGUAUCGCAUGAUACUGGGGCCAAAAACUCCGGUGAUGUGAGAUGGACCCGCGUCUGAUUAGCCAGUUGGCGGGGUAACGGCCCACCAAAGCGACGAUCAGUAGCCGACCUGAGAGGGUGAUCGGCCACAUUGGGACUGAGACACGGCCCAAACUCCUACGGGAGGCAGCAGUGGGGAAUAUUGCACAAUGGGGGAAACCCUGAUGCCAGCGACGCCGCGUGAGUGAUGAAGUAUUUCGGUACGUAAAGCUCUAUCAGCAGGAACGAUAAUGACGGUACCUGACUAAGAAGCACCGGCUAAAUACGUGCCAGCCGCGGC
rnacentral:rRNA from 1 species